UGGGGAAUAUUGGACAAUGGGCGAAAGCCUGAUCCAGCAACGCCGCGUGAGGGAUGACGGCCUUCGGGUUGUAAACCUCUUUCAGCAGGGACGAAGCGAAAGUGACGGUACCUGCAAAAGAAGCACCGGCCAACUACGUGCCAGCAGCCGCGGUAAUACGUAGGGUGCAAGCGUUGUCCGGAAUUAUUGGGCGUAAAGGGCUCGUAGGCGGUCCGUCACGUCGGGAGUGAAAUCCUGGGGCUUAACCCCAGAACUGCUUCCGAUACGGGCAGACUAGAGGUAGGUAGGGGAGAAUGGAAUUCCUGGUGUAGCGGUGGAAUGCGCAGAUAUCAGGAGGAACACCAGUGGCGAAGGCGGUUCUCUGGGCCUUACCUGACGCUGAGGAGCGAAAGCGUGGGGAGCAAACA
rnacentral:rRNA from 1 species